rnacentral:misc_RNA from 1 species
GGAAGUGAAAGUCGUAACAAGGUUUCCGUAGGUGAACCUGCGGAAGGAUCAUUAUUGGAUUUUGAAACUUCAGGCUGCUGCUGGCUCUCCUCGGAGGGCAUGUGCACGCUUGUUGUCCAUUAUUUCUCCCACUGUGCACAAAUUGUAGACCUUUCAGUAGGCCUAUGUUGUUUUUCACAAUCUCUGAAUGUAAUAGAAUGGUUUUGAAUCUUGGGAAAUACAAUACAACUUUCAGCAACGGAUCUCUUGGCUCUC